CUGCGGAAGGAUCAUUAUUGAAUAAACCUGAUGAGUUGUUGCUGGUUCUCUAGGGAACACUUUGUGCACACUUGUCAUCUUUAUAUAUCUCCACCUGUGCAUCUUUUGUAGACCUUGGAUAAUCUCUCUGGGUGCGCCUAGCAUUCAGGUUUGAAGAUUGACUUUUAUAGUCUUUCUUUACAUUUCCAGGUCUAUGUUUCCUCAUAUAAACCCUAAUGUAUGUUAUUGAAUGUAAUAAAGUGGGCUUUUAUUAUGCCUAUAAACAUUUAUACAACUUUCAGCAACGGAUCUCUUGGCUCUCGCAUCGAUGAAGAACGCAGCGAAAUGCGAUAAGUAAUGUGAAUUGCAGAAUUCAGUGAAUCAUCGAAUCUUUGAACGCACCUUGCGCUCCUUUAUUACGAGGAGCAUGCCUGUUUGAGUGUCAUUAAUAUAUCAACCUUUUCAAGCUUGCUUGUUGAGUGUUUGGAUGUGGGGGUCUUUCUUUUUUGCUGGUCUCUUUCUUUGACAUCAGCUCCCCUGAAAUUUAUUAGCGGAACAAUUUUGCAGAUCCCAUAUUCAUUGGUGUGAUAACUAUCUACGCUAUUGAAGGGUGAAGCAGGUUCAGCUUCUAACAGUCCUAUUGACUUGGACAAAUUUUAUUUAUUAAUGUGACCUCAAAUCAGGUAGGACUACCCGCUGAACUUAAGCA
rnacentral:rRNA from 1 species